GUUCAACCAGAAGGGAACUUCUACUUUUACAUACAUUUGUUGAAAGUAUAACACACAACACCCUCCACAUUCUCCCACUUAUUACUGCAGUUCCAUUUGCUAUAAACCAUUUAGUGAGGAACUAGUGGAGAUGAAUGAAUGCAUAUCGGGUAAGGGCAUCUUGUUUAAGGAGGCCUACCUACAGGUAAGGGUAGAUAUUGGUAACCGAGAAGGACCCGUUCUUAUCGAUCCAUAUCGACUUGCAGUGCACCAGAAGAUGUAGUUAAAUCCUACCUUGGGGUGCUAAAGGCGAGCCCUGGUUUUGGUCUCUCCUCUGUGGACUCAGAUGAUCCGAUGCAGUCCCAGAUUGUCUGUAGGAUCCACCCACACCAUUGCUGACUGGAAUACAACCACAACCAGGUACUCAGGGAACCUGCAAGUAUUUAUUCUUCCGAGUCAAUUUUAGUAUGAAUGAAAUCAGAAGGAGAGAAAGCAGGUGGUGGUUGGAGAGAUCAGUGUUGGAGACGGCCCCUCAGCUUGAAGGACUGACAGAGUUGUGGUCACUCUCAUGUGAUUCAACUUGACGCUCACUUUGUUUCCUUCCUCCCUCAGUUGCAAGUCGCCUGUAUCGUUUCCCAAGAGGCUCAUGCAUGUCGAUGGAUUUUAAGAAGUAUUACACCAACGUCAUCAAAUACAACUAACAUCUUAGUUGUAUCGAACAUGUCGGGGGAGGAUACAGUCACGUGCUCCGGACGUUUCUCUAAUCUAUACACAUGUGGAGUGGACACCAAACAUGUGGGGGAGGUUGAAGGUCCGUCGCAGCAGCUGUCUGCGGAUGGUGCUAAUGAUGUUAAUAACGCUGAUCAAGUGGCGCCAAUCCUCAUUAAAAUCUGCGCCCUCGUUUACAGGCGUCUCGACGGGACGUCAGUCGUGAGUAUCGAUUCACCAGGAUAAGCGACCAUCAUCUUCCUCCCUCAGCCUCUUAUCUUCACGAAGCUCUGGUCGCUCAACAAAGCGAGGCAGAGGCAGACCACUGUUUCGGUCAUUCACGCAAGAACACUGUUGUAGAGUGGUAUGAGAAGUAGAAAACCCCAAUUUAUUUUGGGAAGUAAAGGAGAUUCCUACUCAUUCCUUCCUUCCCUAACCCUAAUCUCCUUAUAGAAGUCUACACUUGCUUUCAACAAAGACUUUGUUAUUGUGUUCUUAAACAGUUUGUGCAUGUUAUUGGGGGGAUGGGGAAGUCAUGACAAGUUUAAUCAUUUUUGGUUAUGCUUACUGUCAUUGAAAAGUUUUAUUUUUUCAUGGUACAAUGUUUCAUCUGGAGAUCUGGAAAUAUCUGUUUAAUUGAAUGGGUUCGUUCAAUUUAAAGGGGGAGGAAUGUUGUAGAGUGGUAUACUGACUUCUGACCACUAGAGGCAGUAGUGCUAUUGCUCUCUACAAGAAGCUACCGCUUAUUAUCCUGUGGCUGAGCACACCUGUUGAUGUAGGAUUGCUAUGCUGUGAGUGCUAGGUUCCGUGGGGGACAAUAAACAUGUGAAGAGUAACGUCUGUGUCUGGCUAGUUUAUCCCAUUAUACCCAAUAUACUACAAACAAUGAUUCCGUUGGUUUAUUAUUUUAUUGUCGGCCACCAUAAGGCAAGCAUUAUGCUAAAACAGUCAAGCACACCUUCAUCUUAAUCUUAAUCCACCCAUUCCUCCUUUAUUUAUUUUCAGGUGUUUAAAUUGUGUAAGAAGGCUUUUGUGAAUGAAAGGUGUUUUCAUGAGAUGGGUUUGGUAUAUGCAGUCUUAUGACUGGGGAUAAAACGUAGGCCUAUUAUAAUGAGUAAACCAUGCACAUAUAAUUCAUCACUUUCAGUCUGUCUGACCAGGCCUACACCAAAGGGAUUAGGGGUUCAGAUCUUUAACAACAGUACAGUACUGUUUUCUGAAUCAGCAGUCAAACACUUACAAAUACAUCUUAUACUGUGCCACUUGGUAGAGAUGACAGGAGAGCAGAACAUCCCUUAGGUCUGUCAUCGUGUUUCUGCAUUUAACCUUUUGGUAGAAAAGCGUUUUUUUAAUACUGUCACAUCACAGGCCACAGGAAAACACGCUCGAAGACUUGUGCUGGUCUCGCCUUGAAAGGUUGGAUUCCUAAGAGUUAUCUGCUAUGUGAGCUGGUUAUUUUGUCUCAUGUAAUUCAAUCAAAUGAUCAGGAAGACCAACUGCCUUUGGCUAACUUCUUGCGGGAUUCACCGUACUGUCAUUGGCAGUUGGUUUUGUUGGUUCCUGAACUGAUGGGAGAGGACAAUGGUUUUCGUGAGAAGUUCUCAUGUCAUCAAAGAUCAAAGCUCGUCUAUAGCUUUUAUCACCUUAAAGACGGGAUUUAAUGAGUUUGCAAGUUGAAUCCCUGCAUACAGAUGCAUCUCUUUCAACAGUUCUCUUUUAAUGAUGUGUUGAGUAUUCAACUAUUGCAAUACUUUAAGAGCAGCCAUUUUGUGUUAUUGCAAUAUUCACCUUGAACUGGUAAGGGAUUGGUUAGAUUUGUGCUUCUUCUACUGGGAGGUUCUUCUUUCAAAUAAAUGCUGGUUAAAAACUUUGGAUUAAUGAAAGAUGAUCGAUGUGUAAGGCCUGACAGUAGUGUUUUAAAAACGUUUUUCAAACACACACAACGUAUAUUGGGGCACACACAUUCACGCCAUGUUUGCGCCAGUAAGAUCCGUACAAAGCAAAAUCUGGUUCAGGUGAAAUCCCAAUGCCAGUGAUACAAAGCAAAGCUUCAAUAUUGUAUACAUAACUGUAGAAAGGUUCCGCAUUUUCUUUGAUCAGCUAUGAACACCGAGCUCAAACUGUGAUCUGAAACCAAACUCGUUGACACAAGCAUUUAAAUAGUCCUUUAGUUCUAUCCCAUCACACACACUCCAAUACUGACUCCAUUCAUCUACGUCUUUGGUAAAAACAAAGUGGGACCCAACGCCACAAACGGGAAGGUUACAAUCGGCUGGUGGGACAAAGCUGUCGAGGUCGUUUCGUAACAAACAAGUUUCUGAUUGAUUCAUGGGGCAAGUACCUCUCCGUCAUAGACCACCUGUUACACAUCCUGUAUCAGACCAGCCCCAGACCAGAAGGUGGGUGAGGUCCACGGCUGGAGCUCCAAAGGAAUUGCGGGAGAGACCCUGACCGCCGCCCCCUGGGGUUAUCAGUACCGUUGGAUCCGUCCGGGUCAUGGUUCAGGGGGGGAUUUGGUUGAUGGGGAGGAGGGUGGGGGGGGGGAGUGUGUGAGGGUCAGGGAGGAGGCACUGGGGGUCCCUUUGCUUGGGGAGGUGCUCUUGGGGUCCU
ensembl:lncRNA